UCAAGCCAAACCCUAAAAAAUCUCCAAAAGUUUGAAGCUUCAUCAUCGCCCCUUCUUCAUCGAUUUACCACCCUUCCCCAUAUUUUUUUCAUUCACCGCCACUAUCAUAGGUUUCACCGUCACCUUGCUACCAAACCUCGACCCCCUCUCAUCGAGAACUAACUCUAUUUACCGUGAAUAGCCUUUGAAAACUUGUCAGAAUCGAAACAAUGCCUUCGGAUUUCUUCAAUUUUUAGUAGGUUCCGACCUUUGUUGAGCACAUUGCCCUCACCAUUGAAUUCCUCAUUCUUUUUCAAUCAAAACUCAAUUGGGUUCAUCCUUCACUAGCACUGCUUCAUCUUCGUCAUUCGACCAUUGACUUUGAAUAGGGUUACUUUUUCUGAAAAGUCAUAUUUUAGGUUUUCAACGUCUUGAGUCCAAAUUUGGAGUAUGUUUUACCAAAUUUGACAUGAUGUUUUGGGAUGUCGAAUUCAAGCGCGAGAGAAAUCGAAUGGAUUUUAGAUGGUCGAUCAGUGUAGCUCAAAACUUGAGGAAACGAGAUGGAUGAUGUGCAAAUAUGUUGCGACAGAAGUUGGGAAGCGGAGAAGUAAUGCCCAUUAGCAUAGACAGCCAAAGAAGGUAACAUCGACGAUAGUGAUUUUGUAUGUGUCUGUACAAUUAUGGGUUGACAUUUUAUAAUAAUUGAGGGGCGAUGUUACCUUGUCAAAGGGAAGAAAGGAUAACUUGAUGUUGGAAACAAUAGGAGAUAUUGAAAGAGGUUAAAAUAUUGUAUUUUCAAUGGAUAAGCAAUGAAAAUAACUUGUCCGGGUGGCUUGA